AGCUGUCUGUGUGCCUUCCAAGGAGACAUCUAACAAAUCUGUUCAACUAGUCCUCGAUACUGUGAUCACAGGAGGUUAAAAACCAUCCCCAGUUUCAUCUCUUCUUUUCCAGACACAACUUUUGGCACUUGCCAGCCCUCAUAAGCCUGACAAGAGAAGAAAGCAUAAGAGAUAAUGUGGCAGGUCUUCAUGCAGGAGAGACAUCAGAGAAUUGAGGGGGCUCCUCUUGCCUUGUCCUGAGACCCACGAAGAGCCAUAAAGGAAACCGGAGGAAUGCCUAGAGCAGAAGGUUGGAGGGAAAGGGCUGCUAAUAUGAUAUCCCAUGCUGUGGCAGAAGCCCAAGAACCCAAACUCCAAGGAAUCAGAAACACCGAGAAACCUGUUGCUGAGAUCCCGUCUACUGACUUGUCUGGAGAGUUCUCCAUCUGGCUCAAUAGCUGUGAUCAAGAAGGGGCAAGAACGUUUGGACUUCUACUUCUGAUGAGAACAGAAGUUUGCAGGUCGGAAUAUGAGGAGAUAAGAGAGAGAUGGAACUUCUGGGGAGUUGACUUUCUCCGAACCUGACUGUUGCACACCCUGAACCUUCGAAUAUUUCAUAUCAGGUCCCAGGGAGCACGUGGCCAUGGCCAUGGGCUGGUUUUUGGUAAACAGAAAGGGCAGUUUUUUUCUCUCAUCCACUUUCCAUGUGGCCCCUAGGAUGUUUAUUCCUGAGAGUGACUGAAGAUGAGGACUGGGUGGAAGAGGCAGGAUAGUCUUACUCAACUAUGAGAAUGUUUUCUAUGUCCUUUUAUGCUUUAUCAGGGUAAAAUCCAACCGGAUUCUCCAGUUUAUUAGUAAGGGAAUUAUUCGGGGUAGUUAAGGCAGAAUACCUUGACCAGUGAAAACUGUUUCCGAUGUAAUGAGAAGCGGCUGAGCGGAGUGGAAAUGGUGGGGGACCCGCUUGAAUUCUGCCCCGGACCCCUUAAGACCAACUGACAGCUUCGUUGAUAAUAAACACCUUGAAUUACGGAUUCCGGGGCAAUGGCGUUAAAAUUUCUGCUGGAAAUAACUUCCAUUCCAACUGUCUGUGUCUACGUCUGUAAAACCACCAACACCCUCCCAGUUCUUGUCCCAUUCAAGGGAGGAGAAAAAUAAAUGAA